rnacentral:lncRNA from 1 species
GGCCAUUUUGAUGAUGUGAACUAGACUUUAAAACAGAAAGAGGAAAAAUGAAUGUGGUGGACAAGGGCUGCUGACAAUAUUAGAUAGAAUCAGAGAUGGAGUCUCACUAUGUUGCCCAGUCUGGACUUGAAGUCUUGGCCUCAAGCAAACCCCCUUGCGUCAGCCUCUGAAAGUGCUGGGAUUACAGGCAUGAGCUACCGUGCUUGCCUCCUUCUCCUUCUCCUUCUCCUUCUUCUCCUCCUCCUCCUCCGUCUUCUUCAUUGUUAAUUUUAGGUGCAGCAACUCCAUCCAGGGGAUAAAAG